AGUCGUACGCUUCUUUUUCCACCGGAGCUUGCUCCACCGGAAAAAGAAGAGUGGCGAACGGGUGAGUAACACGUGGGUAACCUGCCCAUCAGAAGGGGAUAACACUUGGAAACAGGUGCUAAUACCGUAUAACAAUCGAAACCGCAUGGUUUUGAUUUGAAAGGCGCUUUCGGGUGUCGCUGAUGGAUGGACCCGCGGUGCAUUAGCUAGUUGGUGAGGUAACGGCUCACCAAGGCCACGAUGCAUAGCCGACCUGAGAGGGUGAUCGGCCACAUUGGGACUGAGACACGGCCCAAACUCCUACGGGAGGCAGCAGUAGGGAAUCUUCGGCAAUGGACGAAAGUCUGACCGAGCAACGCCGCGUGAGUGAAGAAGGUUUUCGGAUCGUAAAACUCUGUUGUUAGAGAAGAACAAGGAUGAGAGUAACUGUUCAUCCCUUGACGGUAUCUAACCAGAAAGCCACGGCUAACUACGUGCCAGCAGCCGCGGUAAUACGUAGGUGGCAAGCGUUGUCCGGAUUUAUUGGGCGUAAAGCGAGCGCAGGCGGUUUCUUAAGUCUGAUGUGAAAGCCCCCGGCUCAACCGGGGAGGGUCAUUGGAAACUGGGAGACUUGAGUGCAGAAGAGGAGAGUGGAAUUCCAUGUGUAGCGGUGAAAUGCGUAGAUAUAUGGAGGAACACCAGUG
rnacentral:rRNA from 1 species